rnacentral:rRNA from 1 species
UACGUAGGGGGCAAGCGUUGUCCGGAAUCAUUGGGCGUAAAGCGCGUGUAGGCGGUUCGGUAAGUCGGCUGUGAAAGUCCAGGGCUCAACCCUGGGAUGCCGGUCGAUACUGCCGGACUAGAGUUCGGAAGAGGCGAGUGGAAUUCCCGGUGUAGCGGUGAAAUGCGCAGAUAUCGGGAGGAACACCAAUGGCGAAGGCAGCUCGCUGGGACGUUACUGACGCUGAGGAGCGAAAGUGUGGGGAGCGAACAGG